GAUGAAGCACGUAGCGAAAUGCGAUAAGUAAUGUGAAUUGCAGAAUUCAGUGAAUCAUCGAAUCUUUGAACGCACAUUGCGCCCGCCAGUAUUCUGGCGGGCAUGCCUGUUCGAGCGUCAUUUCAACCAUCAAGCCCCAGGCUUGUGUUGGGGACCUGCGGCUGCCGCAGGCCCUGAAAACCAGUGGCGGGCUCGCUGUCACACCGGGCGUAGUAGAUUUUAUCUCGCUCAGGGCGUGCUGCGGGUUCCGGCCGUUAAAAAGCCUUUUUUACCCAAGGUUGACCUCGGAUCAGGUAGGAAGACCCGCUGAACUUAAGCAUAUCAAUAAGCGGAGGA
rnacentral:misc_RNA from 1 species